rnacentral:tRNA from 1 species
AGCUGCAUGGCAUAGUGGUUUGAGUGUUGGACUAUGACUCUGGAGACCAGGAGUCAAAUCCCGGUUUGGGUA